CACAGAGCAAAGGCAGAGAAAGGGGAAGAGAUGCCCUUUUUUACAGCAGAUUCGCCCUGCUCUCUGAGCUCAGCAACUGCUAAGCAGAAGGCAGGAGAUCCUGUGGUUCUGGGAACAGCCGGACUCAAAUUCUCUUGGAUUUGCUGUUCCAGCUCUGGGAGAUAUCAAGGCACUGCGCAGUGCUGCUUUGAGUGACGUUAAGAAACCUGUCCUAGCUUCUGCUUGCUAUAGGCCAUGAUUUUCCAUUGGGAAGACCGAUCUCAGGGCUGUCUCAAGGGAACUUGAUGAAAGGAUCAUAUUUUUUUAACAGGUUUUCUCAGGAUCUUGCUCAUUUCAGAGUUUGCUGCUGCUUAUUAUUAUUAUUAUUAUUUUUAAAUCCCAUGAAAAUCUAGGAACUCUGAGUCACUUGAUUUGGAGCCUGCUUUGCUGAGUCUGGGGGUGGUAGUUAAACAAAGAGGAGGAGGAGGAACGAAACAGAUGGGAUUGGUCAAUAUCAGAGGAAACUGGCCAGAAUUCCCCACCAGGAGAGGUGUCAUAGAUCCGAGCUCUUUCAUAUUUAUCGCCUCUCAACAGAAAACUAACCAGAGCUGGUUCAUCUGAGCUGCCUACACGCUGGGGAGAUAAGACAUCUUGUUGUCCAGGAAAAUUCUGGAGCGACUCUCCUGUAUUGGUUCUGUGUGCGGUGGGAUUUCUGGAAAGGACGCAGUCACAAGCCAGGAGGCUAGUUCCACAGAAAAACAAGAGGAUCGUGAGCCGAGAACUUGGCCCCUGUGAGGUUCAGUGAUGUUGAAGACCAUCCAAGUCAGCGUGUGAAUUUAAGAGCACUUAUUAAAACUGGCAGUUAAACGGUGACCCUAAGCGCCGCUGCUCACGGCCAGGCUUAGCCCAUGACGGCAGGGCCCUGCCCCAUCCUCAGCACCACAUCUCUUCCCAGCUCACCCUGGCCCUUCAUUUGUCUUUGCUGCCGAUGGCUGAGGAUGGUGGGGCCAUGGGCCUUGCCAAUGGGGGGGCCAGGAGCCCCUCCGACACUGUCAAGGUGAGAGUUGACCCUGGUGACUGGUGGCUGGGAUCUGCUCUCUCAGUCGGGUCACUGAGGGGCCGGGGGUCGUGGCUUGGGUGCGUGAUGCUCCACAACCCUGUUCUGGCUGUUCAGCUGAGCCUUCUCCCCCUCUGUUUUCCCAUCUGGGGAUGGCGGGAUAGUGGUGGGGUCUCCUGGGAACAGCCCUCUGCCAGAAACCAUUCAGUCCUGCAGAGCUCUGGGACCCAGUAAUAUCCUGUGGCAGCAAGUUCCAC